rfam:Solanum tuberosum cultivar DM 1-3 516 R44 scf00441_12, whole genome shotgun sequence.
AGGCCAUGAAGAAAUCAAUCAUUUCUCGAUGCUGAUAUAUAACUAUAUCAAAGUUAUAUACUUUUUUGAUGACCUAUUUGUGCGUGUCUGAGCCUU